UACGAAGGGGGCUAGCGUUGUUCGGAAUUACUGGGCGUAAAGCGCACGUAGGCGGAUAUUUAAGUCAGGGGUGAAAUCCCAGAGCUCAACUCUGGAACUGCCUUUGAUACUGGGUAUCUCGAGUAUGGAAGAGGUGAGUGGAAUUCCGAGUGUAGAGGUGAAAUUCGUAGAUAUUCGGAGGAACACCAGUGGCGAAGGCGGCUCACUGGACCGACACUGACGCUGAGGCGCGAAAGCGUGGGGAGCGAACGGG
rnacentral:rRNA from 1 species